GCUGGGUUGGCUCAAUUGGUAGAGCAGCUGAUUUGUAAUCAGCGGGUUGGGGGUUCGAGUCCCUCACCCAGCACCA
rnacentral:tRNA from 2 species